rnacentral:lncRNA from 1 species
GAAAUAUGAGAUCUAUUAGUAACUCUCUUUUUGCAAUCUCUACGAUGCAUACUCGACAGACUAUACUAGUGAUCAAGUCCUCAUUAGCUAGGGUAGAGACCACUAAUACAUAUUCUAAAGGUGACUGUUUAAUAUUCAGAUGCUGAGCAAACUCAUGUGAUGCAAAAGAGUGUGUAGAUCCUGGAUCUAUUAAAACUUUAGCCAAAGUAC